AGAUUGAGAAGAAUUGAGGUGAUAAAAAUGACAUCGAAUAUAUCCGCUUGUGAUAUUGCAAAGUGUGAUUACUGUGGGAAAGGUUGCUCAGUUUUCACUUCUAAGUCAGGGUCACAUGUUGGAAGGAAAUUUUUUAAAUGUUCAAUGAAUUGCCACUUCUUCAUGUGGGUUGACCAUCUUAAGAUGUGUGACUGUGGGAACGGUCAGUGUAAGGUCAGAACUGCGAAAACAAGUGCAAAUUAUGGUCGAUAUUUUUGGUGCUGUCCACAAUCAACUGGGGUUGAAAACAAAGGUUGUGGAAUGUUUGAAUGGAUAUCAAGUUCAAGCCCAAGUUGUGAUACUUACCAGACUCCACCUAGGUCCCUAUGCUCAGAAACAUCUCCUUCCCCUUCA